GAUGACCGAUUAUGGUGUUGUGGAACAGGUUUUUAUGUUGUAAAUUUUCUGAGUAGAUGAGUUUUCUUUUCUACCUUGUCUCGAUGGUGGAAAUGAGUUAUUGGCCGUAUGGGUAGCUGGGUUUUCUUUUCUACCUUAGCCGUAUGGCAUACUACAAUUUCUAUUAAUUGGUAAUGAGACUUGGAAACAAACCUUUGAUUAUACUACGAAAGGAUUAAUAUUGGUUCUUGAUGAUGCAGGUUGACUUCAUGAAAAUGCCAUUUCCUGACAAUCAUGUUUCUGUUGCUCCACAGGAACUAAACCUCAUUUCUGGAGUGGACAAAACCUGCACUUUUGUGAAGCUAUUGCCACGGUUGUUACCAUAGCAGAAAUUUUGAAAAAUAAUGGAUUGGCUAUUGAGAAGAGUAAUAUUUUCUGUCUUCCAGAUCAGGACCUCAACUGUCGAUAUAAAGGAUGACUCUAGGGGGAGUGCAUUGCAUUGCUUGGUGUGCAGGGGCUAGGCUGGUGAAAAUAAGGAUAUGAGGGUGUUUUUUUUGGGAUUUUUUUUAAAUGCACUUUA